AAUAGAUACCCUGGUAGUCCACGCCGUAAACGAUGAGUGCUAAGUGUUAGGGGGUUUCCGCCCCUUAGUGCUGCAGCUAACGCAUUAAGCACUCCGCCUGGGGAGUACGGUCGCAAGACUGAAACUCAAAGGAAUUGACGGGGGCCCGCACAAGCGGUGGAGCAUGUGGUUUAAUUCGAAGCAACGCGAAGAACCUUACCAGGUCUUGACAUCCCACUGACCGCUAUGGAGACAUAGUUUUCCCUUCGGGGACAGUGGUGACAGGUGGUGCAUGGUUGUCGUCAGCUCGUGUCGUGAGAUGUUGGGUUAAGUCCCGCAACGAGCGCAACCCUUGAUCUUAGUUGCCAUCAUUUAGUUGGGCACUCUAAGGUGACUGCCGGUGACAAACCGGAGGAAGGUGGGGAUGACGUCAAAUCAUCAUGCCCCUUAUGACCUGGGCUACACACGUGCUACAAUGGACGGUACAAACGGUUGCCAACCCGCGAGGGGGAGCUAAUCCGAUAAAACCGUUCUCAGUUCGGAUUGUAGGCUGCAACUCGCCUACA
rnacentral:rRNA from 1 species